GAUACCAAGGACCUCCCCUGAAAUCAGCUGGACGAGAAACCAAAUAUGCCACUCUCCAGCCUCUAAUAAAUAUAAAAGCAAAUGAUCCUCAAAUAACAAGACCAGGAGUCAUAAGACCAAUGGCUGCAAAUGAAAGCAGAAAAUGUUAUCCAAAUCUGUUCCAGCAAUUCUCACUGCCUCCAAAUAAAAUUUAAUAGUCAGAUGAGGUCUUCUGGUUGAAACCAGAGUGGAAAGAAAAGAAGUCAUUUGGACACAGACAUCAUUGGCCGCCCUUUAAAAUGAUCCUUUUAAUUGUAAUAUAUGUUGUUGUAGCUUUACAGUUAUGUAAUUUUAUGGAAAUGUAUUCAUGUCUGCAUUGGCAGAGUUCUUACAUAGUAAUACUGUAAUUAAUUAUCAUUAUACUGUAGAAAGCACCUUUGUGUCAGCAAGUAGUGAUGAAAUGAAUGUAAAAUAAUUGGGGGCAUUUCAUAUAAAAUAUUCCCUAAAUAAUGCAAGAUCUACCAGGUCAACCAUUCAAGAGUUGAACAAACAUACUUCAUAGUGGCACUGUGCUUUAUUGUAAUUUAAAUAUACUGUAUGUCUGCAGUUACUGCUUUGCAAGGUUUUAGACGAGGUUACUAGUUAACAGAAUAUUUCCAGUCAUAAUUGGUGUAAGACAAAACAAGGAUUGUGGGGAGAUAUAAAUAAAGGAAAUACAGAAGGCA